rnacentral:rRNA from 1 species
GAUGAACGCUGGCGGCGUGCCUAAUACAUGCAAGUCGAGCGAACAGACGAGGAGCUUGCUCCUCUGACGUUAGCGGCGGACGGGUGAGUAACACGUGGAUAACCUACCUAUAAGACUGGGAUAACUUCGGGAAACCGGAGCUAAUACCGGAUAAUAUAUUGAACCGCAUGGUUCAAUAGUGAAAGACGGUUUUGCUGUCACUUAUAGAUGGAUCCGCGCCGCAUUAGCUAGUUGGUAAGGUAACGGCUUACCAAGGCAACGAUGCGUAGCCGACCUGAGAGGGUGAUCGGCCACACUGGAACUGAGACACGGUCCAGACUCCUACGGGAGGCAGCAGUAGGGAAUCUUCCGCAAUGGGCGAAAGCCUGACGGAGCAACGCCGCGUGAGUGAUGAAGGUCUUCGGAUCGUAAAACGCUGUUAUUAGGGAAGAACAAAUGUGUAAGUAACGAUGCACGUCUUGACGGUACCUAAUCAGAAAGCCACGGCUAACUACGU